AGCAGCCGCGGUAAUUCCAGCUCCAAUAGCGUAUAUUAAAGUUGUUGCAGUUAAAAAGCUCGUAGUUGAAUUUUGGGUCUGGCCGGGCGGUCCGCCCUCUGGGUGAGCACUGUUCCGACGCCGGGCCUAUCCUUCUGGUGAGUCGGCAUGUCCUUUAUUGGGUGUGUCGGGGAACCAGGACCAUUACCUUGAAAAAUUAGAGUGUUCAAAGCAGGCGUAUGCUCGAAUACAUUAGCAUGGAAUAAUGAAAUAGGACGCGUGGUGCUUAUUUUGUUGGUUUCUAGAACCGCCGUAAUGAUUAAUAGGGAUAGUUGGGGGCAUUAGUAUUCAAUUGUCAGAGGUGAAAUUCUUGGAUUUAUUGAAGACUAACUUCUGCGAAAGCAUUUGCCAAGGAUGUUUUCAUUAAUCAAGAACGAAAGUUAGGGGAUCGAAGACGAUCAGAUACCGUCGUAGUCUUAACCAUAAACUAUGCCGACUAGGAAUCGGGCGAUGUUAUUCUCAUGACUCGCCCGGCGCCUU
rnacentral:misc_RNA from 1 species